rnacentral:rRNA from 1 species
GUCGAGAAUAAUUCACAAUGGACGAAAGUCUGAUGGUGCAACGCCGCGUGGAGGAUGAAGGUCUUCGGAUUGUAAACUCCUGUCAUCGGGGAGUAAGACCUGGCGGUAAAUAGCCGACAGGGUUGAUAGUACCCGAAGAGGAAGGGACGGCUAACUUCGUGCCAGCAGCCGCGGUAAUACGAAGGUCCCAAGCGUUGUUCGGAAUCACUGGGCGUAAAGGGAGCGUAGGCGGCGUGGUAAGUCAGAUGUGAAAUCGCGGGGCUCAACCCCGGAACUGCAACCGAUACUGCCAUGGUUGAGGGUUGGAGAGGUAGCUGGAAUUCGCGGUGUAGCAGUGAAAUGCGUGGAUAUCGAGAGGAACACUCGUGGCGAAGGCGAGCUACUGGACAACAUCUGACGCUGAGGCUCGAAGGCCAGGGUAGCGAAAGGGAUUAGAAACCCCAGUAGUCC